GAUGAACGCUGGCGGCGUGCCUAAUACAUGCAAGUCGAGCGAACGGACGAGAAGCUUGCUUCUCUGAUGUUAGCGGCGGACGGGUGAGUAACACGUGGAUAACCUACCUAUAAGACUGGGAUAACUUCGGGAAACCGGAGCUAAUACCGGAUAAUAUUAUGAACCGCAUGGUUCAAAAGUGAAAGACGGUCUUGCUGUCACUUAUAGAUGGAUCCGCGCUGCAUUAGCUAGUUGGUAAGGUAACGGCCUACCAAGGCAACGAUGCAUAGCCGACCUGAGAGGAUGAUCGGCCACACUGGAACUGAGACACGGUCCAGACUCCUACGGGAGGCAGCAGUGGGGAAUCUUCCGCAAUGGGCGAAAGCCUGACGUAGCCACGCCGCGUGGGUGAUGAAGGUCUUCGGAUCGUAAAACUCUGUUAUUAGGAAAGAACAUAUGUGUAAGUAACUGUGCACAUCUUGACGGUACCUAAUCAGAAAGCCACGGCUAACUACGUG
rnacentral:rRNA from 1 species